rnacentral:rRNA from 1 species
UACGUAGGGUGCAAGCGUUGUCCGGAAUUAUUGGGCGUAAAGAGCUCGUAGGCGGUUAGUCGCGUCUGCUGUGAAAACUCGGGGCUUAACUCCGGGCCUGCAGUGGGUACGGGCUGACUAGAGUGCGGUAGGGGAGACUGGAAUUCCUGGUGUAGCGGUGAAAUGCGCAGAUAUCAGGAGGAACACCGGUGGCGAAGGCGGGUCUCUGGGCCGUAACUGACGCUGAGGAGCGAAAGCGUGGGGAGCGAACAGG